UACGUAGGAUGCAAGCGUUGUCCGGAUUUACUGGGCGUAAAGCGCGCGCAGGCGGCACAUUAAGGAAGGUGUGAAAUAUCCCGGCUCAACCGGGAGGGUGCACUUUAGACUGAUGAGCUUGAGGUCGGUAGAGGGGGGUGGAAUUGCUGGUGUAGCGGUGAAAUGCGUAGAUAUCGGGAGGAACACCUGUGGCGAAAGCGGCGCACUGGACCAUAACUGACGCUGAGGCGCGAAAGCUAGGGGAGCAAACAGG
rnacentral:rRNA from 1 species